UAGAUUUCCAUUACUCUUAGAAGAAAUUUUGAGCUCCUUUUCGUUACCUACAAAGUCUCACAUGAUCUGGCUCCAAUCCACUGUCCAAAUUCAUCUCAUACUGCUCCCCUUCCUUCACCAUACUCCUACCACACUGAUAAAGGUAAAACUGGCAAGAUCAUACAGAAUGGGAAAGGAAGCAAUAGCAACAAAAUUUUAAAAGCUGGAAAAGAGAUGGACAAGUAGUAACUGAUAUAGCAGACUAAGAAAGGAGACUCCCAAUGGGGAAAGCCAAAAAGCAGCUAGAUUGACAACAGAGAAACUACCAAAGGCUCAUGAAUUGGUUGCAGGAGGUACCUCUAAGAGUAGCGGGGAAGACAGGGAUGAAAAAAGCAGGUUAGGUUGAUUUUUUUUUUUUUCCACGUAGAGGAAAGUGCAAACGCAGUCCCCCAGUACCACAAAUUAUGUGGUCGAGUUUCCCGCAUUUGGAGAAAUUGCAAAAUCAGCACAUCCGGAGUGCAAUGGAUAAGCCUCGCCUGGGAAAACCACCUUUGUGAUCAUGGUAUCUCCUCAGCAGUACCAGUGCUGUGCGCAAAUCAUGCCACAUUACUGCUGCUCAAAACUCUUCCAUGGCUUCCUGCUGGAUUCAAGCCUUCUCUAAGCUCCUGGAGCCCCUGAGCCCCACUGAAAUGAGGAACACGCCUCAGUGUAACCUCUACCCAGAUCACAUAGCAAGAUUCUCAGCUUCAUCCAGGCAUUUGGAUAAGGAACCUCUCAACCCUUGCCUCCCAGGAGCCCUCUCCCUGACCUUAUCAUCUUUCCCCAAGAUUGCUCGCACCUGAGCAGGAUCUGAGCUGGAGACCGGCCAUACUUUUCAGCCAGUGCCAGGACCACUGGCUCCUCCAGCAGGACGGGCUCACCAGGAUCACGCCAAGCACGAUCAGAGGAGCCCAGAGGGCUAUAAGCAGUCACCUCCAGGCCACGUGCUUGGCAGUGGGCAAUGAGCUCGUUCUGAGCCAGGUAUGGGUGGCAUUCCACCUAAGCCAAGAAACAACCCAUCACCAUGGGGAGACCACACCCAGACACGCACAUCUUGACCCCCCACUUCCCCUCAACCUGCUUUUCUCACUCUCAGUUUUCCACUGUCCAUUCCAUUUACCUUCCCACACUUCAAUGGCCUUUUUUAUGCAGAGGAUUUCUGCACCAACACUUCUAACAACUUUCUAGCUAUCCCCAUGAGUGGACCCAUCAUCUGCUCACUCAUGCUUUUGCACAUACCCCCGACCCCAAAGCAACUGAUCUGCUUUGCUGUGCUCACCUGCAGGACAGCUGGGCGCACAGAGGCCACACUGAGCACAUCAUCAAUCUGCCGACUGUUGAAGUUGGACAGGCCCAGUGCCCGCACCAGCCCUUUAGCCACCAGUGCCUCCAGAGCCUUCCAGGUCUCCUUGUAGUGGGUGGAGUCAUAGCGGAUAGUCCCAUCGGCAUUCUUAGGGAAGGGGUUGUCUCCCCGCCUGAGUGAAAGACAGCCCCCCAAGAGUGGCACAAAUGCCAGGCUCCUGCCUACCCACCCAUCCAGCCAUACGCCAAAGCCCAGAAAGGGGAAAGGGCCAAGAAAGAGAAACAAGCAUGGUUUUUUCAUUCUUCUAGGUCAUGACCUAAGUGUUAACCCUACAUGGAAUGCCCAUUUUCCCUCUUCUUCCUAGACACAGAUCAUAUCCUCUCUCCUCUGGCAAGUCUUCCUUUCUCCUUGGGGAGUUGCACGCCCCUGCAGCCUUCGUCAAGCACAGGACACAGGGCCAGUGGUCAGCUUCUCUCACAUCCUCCUGGGGAGCUUAUUCUUUACUGCAACCCUAGCACAGCAGAAGCUAGUACAUUUCCUAAGUGUAAAGGCAGCAGCAGGAAGGACCACCCAUGCACACCCUAGGAUACACACCAUGUGAGGCUGCACUCCUUUUUCUGUAGCUAAACUCCUGGCUGCAGCAGCAGCAGAAAAGGUUGAGUUCCCAUGGCAAGCUCCUCCCUCAGUACGCCACACAGAUGAGUGUACCUCCCCUGCUCUGCUACUGUGACUUACAAAAAGUUACUAACACGACUCCCCCAACCCUUGGCUCCCUGGAUGAAGAUCCCAGCAAGGCUCACUCAAAGGCAUGAGGCCAGUGCAUCAGGUACAGGUCCAAAUACUCCAGUUGGAGGUCAGCCAGCGUCUUCCGGAGGGCAGGCUCCACAUCCUCAGGGUGGUGCUUCGUGUUCCACAGCUUGGAAGUCA